rnacentral:rRNA from 1 species
AUUGAACGCUGGCGGCAGGCCUAACACAUGCAAGUCGAACGAGUGGCGGACGGGUGAGUAAUGUCUGGGAAACUGCCUGAUGGAGGGGGAUAACUACUGGAAACGGUAGCUAAUACCGCAUACCAUCAGAUGUGCCCAGAUGGGAUUAGCUAGGUGGUGGGGUAAAGGCUCACAAAGGCGACGAUCCCUAGCUGGUCUGAGAGGAUGACCAGCCAACAUGGAACGGAGACACGGCCCAGACUCCUACGGGAGGCAGCAGUGGGGAAUAUUGCACAAUGGGCGCAAGCCUGAUGCACCCAGGCCGCGUGUAUGAAGAAGGCCUUCGGGUUGUAAAGUACGUUCAGCGGGGAGGCGUUACCCGCAGAAGAAGCACCGGCUAACUCCGUGCCAGCAGCCGCGGUAAUUC